ensembl:snRNA U6 U6 spliceosomal RNA
GUGCUCACUUUGGGAGCACAUAUACUAAAAUUGGAGCAGUACAGAGAAGAUUAGCAUGGCCCCUGAGUAAGGAUGACAUGCAAAUUUGUGAAGCAUCCCAUAUCUUU